rnacentral:lncRNA from 1 species
GGACGUGGCGGCGGCGUUCGCGCGCGUCAAGUAUGAGAACUUCGUGAGUAGGAAUGGUGCCGCUGGGUGGGUUUGUGACACGCAUUGGGCGCCUGUUGUGGAGUGUGUGGUAUCGGUACGGGUUACGGGUAUUGGGGAUAGAUGACAGGGUAUAGUGAUGAAGUGGUUGUUCACGGUCUUGGGAUGCUGAAUCUGCAGUAGGCGUCAUCCACAGAUUGUGUCGAGGACACGGGGACGAAGUCUUGUGCUCUUGUCUGUAAGCCCGCAAGUCAAGAGUGGCACCAUGACUCAAUUACGCGUCUUGCUCCCAUCCAUCACCUACCCCUGCAGGACUUUCUGGAGCGCGCGGCGGACGCCCUGACGCCCAAGCUGCCGCAGUCGUCGCCCAACGCCGUGUCCCUCAUGGUGUGGGCGGUGGGCAACAGCAAGGUAGGACGGGGUUGCGCACGGCGUGAACGGGCGCUGUAGCAGCAUACCGUAUUCUAUACUGAUGCGGCACGACGGCAUGAGCUCGGCACUGCAGGAUGGGCACGCUAUCAGCGAUGGGCAUCUGAGGCAGAAAGCCCAUGCCACGCAGUCUCAAACACUGAGCUCUUCCUCCAUGCUCU